AACUCCGAUUUUAGUGGUUCUCGUUCCCACGAUCUCGUAGCAACGCGUAGAUCAUUAUUAUUCAGUUUGUUCUUAUGUUUGGUGUGAUGUUAAUUUUAUCUAUACCAUGUUUGUUUGUAUUGCUACGACUAGCGCGAGGACACGUGUCAUCUGUAAAGCAAGUUGGUACCUGGAUUCUCAAGUGCCAGGCAAGUUGUGCCCUUGAUCACUUACUUUUCCCAGCCAUGUUCUUAUUAAUUUUAAUGAUCUGCAUAGGUUAAUUGUGAUGGGAUCCUUUAUGUUACCCCAGUUUUGAUUACCUCUAUACCUUGUUCACCCCUGAAAUACUUUUGGGUAGUACUUGCUAUUGCUUUAUGUGGAUUGGGUAUGGAGAUACACUACUCAUGAUUAUCCUGUUAUUAUCUUGUUAUUAUUACUGUUCAUGUUAAGAUCAUUAAAUUAAUGGGAACAUGGAGCGACCACCCGGGAAAACAGUGCUACCACAAGGGUUUAAUGGGACGCCCUUGGCUGAUUAACUAGGAAAGCUAGUGGAGGUCUUCCUUACCCGAAAGGGGCAAGGGCAGUAGGGGAGUGGUCAGUGUAGGGAGGUCCUUGGGUUGAUUUUGCUGCAAUGGCGGUCAGGCAAGAACCCUGCACUGGAGCUUCCUAUAAACUGUAGCGGGAUUUCUGAAGCUAGUGGAACUUUGUAAAGGCCUCGUAGUGUUACCCUGCCUCGCCUCCUCGGUAGAGGUGUAUGGGAUUGGCCGUCUCUUGGCAGAUGGGUAACAUGACUUGUGGGUAAAGAUGCGCAACCUCUGCAGAGUGUAAAACUAGUAUACUAGCCGUGCUCACGGUCAUGAGCGGCUCGGACCCUCACAUGAUUAAUUAUGGAACUUAAAUUCAAUUUGACAUUUGCAUCGCAUUUGGGAUUAUUUUAUUAUUACUUUUCUUUAUUAUUAUUAAGGUUUGGUAUUUACUUACACUUAGUAAUUGCUAAUAAAAUUUUGACCAACUUAUAAAAGCAAUGCUCAGCCUCAGCCUUUAUUUCAUUGAUCAACCUUACACUUCAUGAACUCCCACCUUUGGUGAGUUCAUGCCACAUUAUUCCCCACGACUUGUUGAGCUAUGAACGUAUGUGAGCUCACUCUUACUGUCUCACACCCCCCCCACAGGAGAAGAACAGGUGGUCGAAGAGGAGCCGCCUAACACUGAGGCAUUCGACUUGAUCUAGGUGGCGUUUCUCAGUCGACAUUGGCGCCGACGAUCCUUAGUUCGUUUUAUAUUUAUUCUUUUACUUUGUAAUAAGUCUUCCGCUAUGUAAUAAUUACUCUGAUGUUUUAUGACAUUUAUCUCUAUACACUCUGUUAUUAUAUAUGUUGUCUUCUUGGCGCAUGUAUGAGAUGCACCCGGCGUUGUUCCUUAAAACCGGGUGUUACAGAAGUGGUAUCAGAGGGAAUGUUGACUGUAGGACGAAACCUAGAUAGAAAUGGACAACCCUUACCUACUUAUCUCAUUCCGAUCAUUCUUACCUUUUCUAUUCUAAGACAAGAUGGAUUUCACACCUUGGAAUUCCUACCCCUAUGACAUUUUUAAGAGAUAGGAAGCCUAAGAUAAAAUUAAAACUAUUUUCUCUAUUAAAAAUGUUGGUUGAUUGUUCUGAUGAUCAAUGCCUGAUUUGCUUCUUUGAUUGAUUGAAAUAGUAUAGACGGGCAUCUUAGCAUGUACCGCCAUAAGGUAAUGUAUUAGCUUUAGUGGAUAACACACUAAUCUACUUAGCUAAUAAAUCCCCCACAGUAACAUUCCUCGUAAUUACUCGCCUUGUCUACAAUUCUUCCUUUCUUACCCUGUAUUUCUAACCCAGAUGGGCUACCCCUAUAGUGUUAGAAGAGAGCACUAUAGACGUGAUCCUUGGCAUGUCAUGGUUAAGAAAGGUAAAGGCAGUUUAUACACUGUGCUAAAGGAACCGUAGAACUCACCAGUUCCAAAGGACAAAGUUUUGAAGUUGAAGUUGCAGUAACUACCACCAUCAGACUAGCGACAUUCUUAGUAGAUGAGAAGUUUUUGGGUGACAACAUCCGUGCAGUUAGGGAUUUUUCGGAUGUCUUUCCAGAGGAGUUACCAGGGAUGCCACCAGAUAGGGAAGUUGAGUUUGUAAUUGAUCUUCUACCUGGAACUGCCCCUAUUUCUAAACGGCCAUACAGGAUGUCCGUAGAAGAACUAAAGGAACUUAAGAAACAAUUAACGGAAUUACAAGAUGUUGGAUAUAUUCGUCCGAGUUCCUCACCUUGGGGAGCACCGGUGUUAUUUGUGCAGAAGAAGGAUGGAUCGCAAUGGAUGUGUGUGGACUAUAGAUCACUUAAUGAUGUUACUGUGAAGAACAAGUAUCCGUUACCCCGUAUUGAGGAUUUAUUUGAUCAGAUGAGAGGAGCCAGGGUAUUCUCGAAGAUUGAUCUCCGAUCGGGAUACCAUCAAAUGAAGAUUAGACCAUCAGAUAUUCCAAAGACGGCUUUCUCAACCCGAUAUGGAUUAUAUGAGUUUACUGUUAUGUCAUUUGGAUUAACCAAUGCACCGGCUUAUUUCAUGAAUUUGAUGAACAAAGUGUUUAUGGAGUAUUUGGACAGAUUCGUCGUGGUGUUUAUCAACGACAUUCUGAUCUAUUCUAGGAAUGAAAGUGAUCACGAACAACAUCUAAGGUUGGUGCUACAAAAGCUGCGAGAUAAUCAACUCUACGCUAAGUUCAGCAAGUGCGAGUUUUGGAUUGACAAGGUGCCAUUCCUUGGUCAUAUUAUUUCUAAUGGAGGAAUAGCAGUGGAUCCUGCUAAAGUGAAGGAGAUAAUGGAGUGGAGAGUGCCCACUACAGUUACUGAGAUUCGGAGUUUCUUGGGACUCGCAGGAUAUUAUCGGAGAUUUAUUGAAGGGUUCUCUAAAAUUGCUAAGCCUAUGACAUCGCUUUUGGAAAAAGGAAGAGAAUUCAAGUGGGAUGAGAAGUGCCAAGAAAGCUUUGAUCAAUUGAAGGAGAGAUUGAUGUCACCUCCAGUAUUGAUUAUGCUAGAUCUGCAGAAGGGAUUUGACAUUUACUGUGAUGCAUGUGGCCAAGGACUUGGAUGUGUGCUUAUGCAAGAUGGUCAUGUGAUUGCCUAUGCAUCUCGUCAGUUGAGGAAACAUGAAUUGAACUACCCCACCCAUGACUUAGAGCUGGCUGCCGUUGUGCAUGCACUUAAGAUUUGGAGACACUACAUUAUGGGAACUAAGUGCCAAGUAUACACGGAUCAUAAGAGUUUGAAGUACAUAUUCACUCAAAAGGAUCUCAACCUUAGGCAACGCCGUUGGUUGGAGCUCAUUAAGGAUUAUGAUUUGGAAAUUCACUAUCACCCAGGCAAGGCAAAUUUGGUUGCAGAUGCCUUGAGUCGGAAGGAGCAUGUUCACUCCGCUUUCGUUGUCCAGCUACCUGAUGAGUUAGCAAAAGAUUUUGAGAGGCUCAAUCUGGAAAUUGUUACACAUACGGAAGGAGUGGCUAUUGAAUUGGAACCUACCUUGGAGCAAGAAAUUCGUAAAGGUCAGGUUGGUGAUGCUAAGAUCCAGGAGAUCAAGGAUCUGAUAACAGAGGGUAGAGGCCCAGAGUUCACGGAGGAUGAGCAAGGCACGAUAUGGUUCAAGAAUCGGAUAUGUGUUCCUGAUAUUGAAAGCCUUCGUGAGACUAUUUUAAAGGAGGUCCAUGACUUGGAUUAUUCUAUUCAUCCUGGUAGUACCGAGAUGUAUCAGGAUUCGAAGCAGAAAUACUAGUGGUAUGGAUUGAAAAGAGAUGUGGCUGCACAUGUGACUAUGUGCAAUGUGUGUCAAAGAGUUAAGGUCGAACACCAAAGACUAGUUGGACUAUUGCACCCACUAAAGAUACCCGAGUGAAAGUGGGAAGAGAUUGGUAGGGACUUCAUUACUGGAUUGCCUCGCACCUUGAAAGGAUACGAUUCUAUAUGGGUUAUUGUGGAUAGACUGACCCAAGUGGCUCAUUUUAUUCCGGUCAAGACUAUUUAUAAGGGAUCACAAUUGGCUAAGUUAUACAUGUCUUGGAUUAUGUCUCUACACAGUGUAUCGAAGAAGAUCAUUUUGGAUAGAGGAUCACAGUCUACCUCCAGAUUUUGGAAAAGCUUUCAUGAGAAUAUGGAUGCGAAGUUGAAUUUUAGUUCUGCCUACCUCAGACUGAUGGACAGACUGAAAGGACUAACCAAGCGUUGGAAGAUAUAUUGAGAGCUUGUGCCUUCAGCAUGGUAGUAGUUGGGACAAGAGUCUACCUUAUGCUGAGUUCUCAUAUAAUAAUAGUUGUCAAGCCAGUCUAAAGAUGUUACUGUUCGAGACUCUGUAUGGCAGGAAAUGCAGGACUCCUCUAUAUUGGAUCAGACUAGAGGAAGACAAUUCUUUGGACCUGAACUUAUUCAAGAGGCAGAAAAAAAUCAAGUCCGUAUAAUCAGGGAGAACCUGAGAGUAGCUCAGACCAGGCAAAGGAGCUAUGCUGAUAAUAGAAGAAAACUAGUGGAAUUUAAGGAAAGGAAUCAUGUGUACCUCAAGGUUUCACCACUUCGUGGAAUGAGGAGAUUCAAAGUUAAGGGCAAAUUGUCUCCUCGCUUUAUUGGACCAUUCAGAGUUUUUAGGCAAGUUGGAGAGAUGGCCUAUCAACUCGAGCUACCUAAUAAUCUAUCGGAUGUGCAUAAUGUAUUUCAUGUGUCUCAACUUAAGAAGAGUCUCCGUGUCCCUGACGAACAGUUACCAAUGGAAAAAAACUCAGUGUUCAAGAUGAUUUGACUUACACGGAGUAUCCUAUCAAGAUUCUUGACGCACUGACUCGUGUCAUGAGGAACAAAGUUAUAAAGAUGUGCAAAGUGCAAUGGAGUCACCAUGGAGAAGAUGAAGCGACUGGGAAAAGAGAAGAAGAGCUUCGCAUAGAUUUUCCCCAUCUUUUCCCUCGUUCCUCCUAAAUCUCGAGGACGAGAUUCUUGUUAAGGGGGGUAGGAUUUGUAACACCUCAAAAAAAAUCCCAUUUUGGGAAUUAGGAAAGAAAAAUGUUAAUCAUAAAAAUCUAGAACAAAUAUGUUUGCUAAUAAAGAUUAAAAAAAGACCUCUAUGUGAAUAUUUUUCAUAUAGUGAUAAUUAUUCCCAAAAUAAAAGUAUUUUAUGCACUAUAAACUAUUUUUCUUAAAAUAAACAUAUGUGUAUGAUAUGCAUGUUUUUGUUAAAAAAGAGAACAUAUGCAUAUAUAGGAUAAUGAAUAAAUGUAUAUAAACAAAAUAUAUAGUGAUGCAUCCAUGCUGGUUCUUUGUUUGAGGCAUUCAACUUGUUCCUUGGUUUCAAAACAAAUUUAAAUAUGGAAUUAGAAAAUUAGAAAUAGAAAAGAAACUGAGAAAAAUAAAAAAAAGAAAGGGAAAAACUCUAACUGGGCUGCCAACCACGAUUUCGGCCCACCUGCUCAUUUCCUGCUUCCCCGUGCAGCCCACGAAGCAACCCCUCCUCACAUGCGCGCUUAGCCACUGCGUGCGGGCCCUAUCUGGCAGCCCCUUUGAUCGCGCUUCACUUCCAUGUGGGCCAAUUUGCCAGGCAAUCUCCACUCCACCUUCGCGCAGCCGCAUCCUUGCCACUGGCCAAUGGGACCCUCGCUGCAGACCCACGUUUUCUUUUGCGCUGUGACCGUUGUGCGGGACCGCACUGUCAGGGUCGUCCUCCCCGUCGCGGACCAAGUCGAUGCAACGCCGCAACGGAGCGCCGAAUCCGCCGGGUCACAACCACCUCCCUGCCAUUCUUGCCGACUUCUCGGGCCGAUGCUCCACGUCGUGGCUAGAUAAAGGGAAGACAGCCGCUCCUCUCUCGUGCGCCACUUCGGGAACACCACGCCCCCCAUGGCCGAUAGUAUGCGAUAAGAAAGAGAGAGAAGGGAGGGGCGAAAGCUGCUGCAUGGAUUCGGCCGGUUUGCGCCGUUGACUCGCUGCAGUGGAGUUCUCCGGUGCAAGCUGCUCGUGGGAGUAACCUUCCGCGGCCGGAUCGAGAGCGGACCGGCUCGGAAUUGCUCCCCGGUGUGGCGUCUCCGCCGCAGACCCGCCCUUCGUCGUGGCCGGAGCGCAGCUCGGCACAAAACUUGGUAAUAACACCCUCAUGCAGUUCGCAUCGUUAUGUACUAUGAGUAGGUGUCGUCAAUUUUGCGAAGAAUACGCUAGUGUGGCUGCCAGUGUGUUCGCCGGUGGGUCUCCGCCGUGUUUCCCUGGGCGGCGCCGCCGUGAGCAGGUGAAUGUUGGGGAGUUGUCUCUGGGCCGUUGGAUGGACAGCGGGCGACUGAGAUUGGAGUGGGAUAUAUCCCUUCGCGCUAUUAGAUAGGAGCCGUAGAUCGACCAUCCGACGACCGAGAUCGGGCUCUGGCGUGGUCAGAUCUCGGACAUUAAUCUUGAAUCCAACGGUAGUGAGUGAAAGCGGGGUGUGUAAACAGGGUCGAUCUAAUCCGGACCAUUCGUUUCUAAUCGGACGACAGUCGACGCGAUGAUACCCCUUCGCCCUGGCAGUCUUUUAAAAGGGCCCCUGAGUUUUAGAGAAAUGAACCCGCCAUCCUGCGCUGUAUGGCUUAGUGUCUUAGGAAGAAUUACCCUGUGACCCCUGCGUUUCUCUGUUUUAGUGCACACAGUCCAGAGAACAGUAAAAAUAAAUAAAUAAAUAUAGAAAAUGAUUUCUAGUAUAUAAAUAAUUCCAGAAACUCAUUUUAUUCAUAGAAAAUUCAUACUAACUCCUUUUUAGUCCAUUCCAGUUCCUAUAAUUUUGUAAUAUUAUAGUUUAUCAUCUAGUACCACUGCUUUCACAUGAAAGUCCUAUUAAAAUUUAUAUCCUAUUUAAUCUUGCAUAAAACACAUAAAACCUUUAGAAAUUCAUAACUUAAAAUAUAUAACUCCAAAUUGAUUCAUUCCAGUGGCAUUAAUUUUGUUUAAGUAUUGUUUAUCACCUAGUACCUUUAUCUAACCAUAAAACUUGAUUUAAAAUUAUUCACAUGAAUUACUCUAUUCUAGAUACUUAAUAACUACAUAAAAUCAUAACUCGGUGACCGUAACUCCGAUUUUAGUGGUUCUCGUUCCCACGAUCUCGUAGCAACGCGUAGAUCAUUAUUAUUCAGUUUGUUCUUAUGUUUGGUGUGAUGUUAAUUUUAUCUAUACUAUGUUUGUUUGUAUUGCUACGACUAGCGCGAGGACACGUGUCAUCUGUAAAGCAAGUUGGUACCUGGAUUCUCAAGUGCCAGGCAAGUUGUGCCCUUGAUCACUUACUU
rnacentral:lncRNA from 1 species